UAUUAUUUUUAACAUUGUGCCAAUUCACAUUCAAUUUUGUUUCUCUGGGAAAACGUUUUCCACCGUCAAAAUACAUAAAACGAUUCACCUUCAAUAUCUUUUUCCAAUUCACAUCCAAUUUCUUUUCUCAAUGCAACCCCUUCAAUUAUCAUCCUCUCUCCUUUCAUACCUUAACCACAAAGCCAACACCGGCCGGAGACACCGGCAAAACAAUUUAAUAUCCGCCAUUAGGUAAGCGCAACCCAUCUCUCUUUCUCUCUCCAUUUCACAUUAGGUCGAACUUUUCCCCCUUUUCCUCCAUCUUCGUCUUCCUUGCCCCUCUCUCUCAUUUCCCGCAGAGAUGUCUAUAUCACUCACUACAUCACCGUAAGAUUUUAUCUCCCUUUCAAAUUUACCCUUUCCGCUAUGCAAAUUUAAGAAUGAGAAUUUUGAAGAAUAAUUGUGACUGCAAAUCAUUUGUUAGUUUGGUGUUUUGAAGGUCAAGUUCCUUAUCUCUAACUCUGUUAUUGGAUGUUUCUUUGUUCAUUUUUUUAGGUAAUUUCAAGUAUAUAAUUAACCCAUCAAUUUGAUUGAAUUUGCUAUGAUACUUUGAUUAGGUUGGAAAUUUAUGUGCUCCAGUAAAUGAGUGGACAAUUGGUGGAACUGAACUCACUCCACUCAUGGACAAUUGGAGCUUUAUUUUGCCUUAAUACUUUUUCACUAAAUAGUGUUUUCAGGUUCUUUGCUUUGCUGGUUUUUUUACUUUAAUCCUUAAAUUUAGGGUAUGUUAAGAACUCGAUCUUUCCUUGCCAUUUGGGAUGAGUCUGCAAAACACAUAUUCCCGAUGAAAAGACAAUUGGUUGAGUGGUGCCUCUUAAUAUGUGCAAAAGAGAGUUAAAAUAAGUGCAUAAAAAGAGUCCAAGGGUAAGAGACUUCGGCUGAGGUAUAGAAUGUUAGUUUGUCUAAUCUUAAAAAUUUGGUAGUGUGUCAAUGAGUUUGUUGUUCCACAAGUGGAUGCAUCAGCAUUCUUUCCCAUUUUAGUUCGUUUUGCAGCAACUGAGACAUUUAGUGACCUGAAGAUUUGUGUUUUUCUUUAUGCUCAUGAAGGAUGUAUGGGAUUAUUAUGCUUUGGAGGUACUCCUGCAGGCCACUGUUAUGGCGUUACAAUUGUGAUUGUUGUCGUUGCCGUUGCAGUUGCUGCAAUAGAACCAUUGCGGUUGCGGAGUUAUAAGCAUUGUGGUUGCGGCAUUAGAAUUGUGAUUGCUUAUGUUGCAGUGUUACAAUUGGCUCAUUUCAUUUCUAAGUAACAUCAAAUGUGAUGCUAUUUGUACAUCAUAGUUUCUUUGAUGUUAUUUGUACAAAUUCGGUUUCAUUCUCACUUCAUAUGAUGCGUUAAUAUUAUGUUUUGUUUUGAUCAUGUUUUCUGUCAACAUAUAGACUACUGUUCUUAACUUCUUAAUAUGAUCUCUUUGUAAGAUUUUUAGCAGAAAUAGAUUGACAAAUACU